AGUAAAGUGGCCUAGAGGAAAGAGCACUGGCCUGGCAGUCAGGAGGCCCUGGGUUCUAAUCCUGGCUCUGCUA
rnacentral:tRNA from 1 species